rnacentral:tRNA from 1 species
GGGGAUUUAGCUCAGCAGCAUGAGCACCUGCCUUGCAAGCAGGCGACCGUGCGGUUGUGAGUUCGAUCCUCG